rnacentral:rRNA from 1 species
AGGCGGUCAGGUAAGUCACCUGUGAAAGCCCUCGGCUUAACCGAGGAAGGUCGGGUGAUACUGCUUGACUUGGGUGUAGGAGAGGAGAGUGGAACUCACAGAGUAGCGGUGGAAUGCGUAGAUACUGUGAGGUACCCCGAUGGCGAAGGCAACUCUCUGGCCUACUACCGACGCUGAAGCGCGAAAGCGUGGGGAGCAAAGGGGAUUAGAUACCCCCGUAGUCCACGCCCCAAACGAUGUUCACUUGGUGUCGGCCGCUUAUACAGGUCGGUGCCGAAGCUAACGCGUUAAGUGAACCGCCUGAGGAUUACGGCCGCAAGGCUAAAACUCAAGAGAAUUGACGGGUCCCCGCACAAGCGGUGGAGCACGUGGUUUAAUUCGAUGAUAAGCGAAGAACCUCACCUGGGCUUGACAUACUAGUGGUAGGAACUGGAAACAGGGACGACCCUGCUUCGGUAGGGAGCUAGUACAGGUGAUGCAUGGCUGUCGUCAGCUCGUGUCGUGGGAUGUAGGGUUAAGUCCCGAAACGAGCGCAACCCUUGUCGCUAGUUGCCAGCGGGUAAUGCCGGGGACUCUAGCGAGACUGCUGGUGAAUAGCCGGAGGAAGGCGGGGAUGACGUCAAGUCAUCAUGUCCCUUAUGCCCAGGGCGACACACAUGCUACAAUGGGAGGUACAAAGGGUCGCGAAGUCGUAAGGCGGAGCCAAUCUCAAAAAACCUCCCUCAGUUCGGAUUGAGGUCUGCAACUCGACCUCACGAAGCCGGAA